rnacentral:rRNA from 1 species
UGGGGAAUAUUGCACAAUGGAGGGAACUCUGAUUCAGCGACGCCGCGUGUGUGAUGAAGGAAUUCGUUUCGUAAAACUCUGUUCUAUGGGAAGAAAAGGACUGUACCAUAUGAGAAAGCUCCGGCUAAAUACGUGCCAGCAGCCGCGGUAAUACGUAUGGAGCGAGCGUUGUCCGGAAUUAUUGGGCGUAAAGGGUGCGCAGGCGGCUUUACAAGUUGGAUGUGAAAUAUUGUGGAUCAACGAAAAACGUGCAACAAAAACUGGAAAGAUUGAGUUAAGGAGAGGUAAGUGGAAAUCCUGGUGUAGCGGUGGAAUGCGUAGAUAUCAGGAGGAAAACCGGUGGCGAAGGCGACUUACUGGACAUAAAAAGACGCACAGGCACGAAAGCGUGGGGAGCAAACAGG